rnacentral:rRNA from 1 species
GACGAACGCUGGCGGCGUGCUUAACACAUGCAAGUCGAACGGUGAAGCGCCUUCCUUUUUGGUGGGUGUGGAUGAGUGGCGAACGGGUGAGUAACACGUGAGUAACCUGCCCCCUUCUUCUGGAUAACCGCAUGAAAGUGUGGCUAAUACGGGAUAUUCUGGGUCUGUCGCAUGAUGGGUCUGGGAAAGAUAUUGUUUCGGUGGGGGAUGGGCUCGCGGCCUAUCAGCUUGUUGGUGGGGUGAUGGCCUACCAAGGCGGUGGCGGGUAGCCGGCCUGGGAGGGUGGACGGUCACACUGGGACUGAGGCACGGCCCAGACUCCUACGGGAGGCAGCAGUGGGGAAUAUUGCACAAUGGGCGCAAGCCUGAUGCAGCGACGCCGCGUGAGGGAUGGAGGCCUUCGGGUUGUGAACCUCUUUCGCCAGUGAAGCAGGCCUGCCUCGUUUGUGGGUGGGUUGACGGUAGCUGGAUAAGAAGCGCCGGCUAACUACGUG